rnacentral:rRNA from 1 species
CCUACGGGAGGCAGCAGUGGGGAAUCUUCCGCAAUGGGCGAAAGCCUGACGGAGCAACGCCGCGUGAUCGAAUGAAGGCCUUCGGGUUGUAAAGAUCUGUUUACAGGGACGAAUAAGCAAUGCGAAUAGUUUUGUGUAUGACGGUACCUGUUUAGAAAGCUCCUGCUAACUACGUGCCAGCAGCCGCGGUAAGACGUAGGGAGCAAGCGUUUUCCGGAAUUACUUGGCGUAAAGGGCGCGGAGGUUGGCGCUUAAGUCCGGUGUGAAAACUCCGGGCUUAACCUGGAGACUGCAGUUGAAACUGGGUAUCUUGAGUGCAAGAGAGGAAAGUGGAAUUCCUAGUGGAGCGGUGAAAUGCGUAGAUAUUAGGAGGAACACCAGUGGCGAAGGCGACUUUCUGGACUGUAACUGACGCUGAGGCGCGAAAGCGUGGGGAGCGAACGGGAUUAGAUACCCUAGUAGUC